CCUACGGGUGGCAGCAGUGAGGAAUAUUGGUCAAUGGCCGGAAGGCUGAACCAGCCAAGCCGCGUGAAGGACGAAGGUGCCAAGCAUUGUAAACUUCUUUUGUCAAGGGACAAAAUCAGGCUCGAGAGCCUGACCGAGGGUACUUGAAGAAAAAGCAUCGGCUAACUCCGUGCCAGCAGCCGCGGUAAUACGGAGGAUGCGAGCGUUAUCCGGAUUUAUUGGGUUUAAAGGGUGCGUAGGCGGACUGUUAAGUCAGCGGUAAAAGCCCGGGGCUCAACCCCGGCGAGCCGUUGAAACUGGCUGGCUUGAGAGGGCGAGAGGUAGGCGGAAUGCGUAGUGUAGCGGUGAAAUGCUUAGAUAUGGCGAAGAACUCCGAUUGCGAAGGCAGCAUACCGGCGGGGAUCUGACGCUGAGGCACGAAAGCGCGGGUAUCGAACAGGAUUAGAUACCCGUGUAGUC
rnacentral:rRNA from 1 species